UGGGGAAUAUUGGACAAUGGGCGAAAGCCUGAUCCAGCCAUGCCGCGUGUGUGAAGAAGGUCUUCGGAUUGUAUAGCACUUUAAGUUGGGAGGAAGGGUUGUAGAUUAAUACUCUGCAAUUUUGACGUUACCGACAGAAUAAGCACCGGCUAACUCUGUGCCAGCAGCCGCGGUAAUACAGAGGGUGCAAGCGUUAAUCGGAAUUACUGGGCGUAAAGCGCGCGUAGGUGGUUAGUUAAGUUGGAUGUGAAAUCCCCGGGCUCAACCUGGGAACUGCAUUCAAAACUGACUGACUAGAGUAUGGUAGAGGGUGGUGGAAUUUCCUGUGUAGCGGUGAAAUGCGUAGAUAUAGGAAGGAACACCAGUGGCGAAGGCGACCACCUGGACUGAUACUGACACUGAGGUGCGAAAGCGUGGGGAGCAAACA
rnacentral:rRNA from 1 species